CGUUGGUAUAGAAGCACAUGAAGUAGGAUUGUGCAUUUGCAGCCCUUUCCUAUGCAGACUUUCCCCAUAUAUACUUCUUUCUAGCUUAUCUCUGGAUGUGGACCCCUAGUUCAAAGCUCUCCAUGACAGGUCACCAUGUCUCUCUCCUAGCACACUAUGAAGAAAGAAAACAAAGCUUUACUGGCAACUCAGGUAGAAUGUCAAAAUGUGAGGUUUGGAAACUCAAAGGUAAAGUAAAUGGUCCUGUCUCUCAUUCUGAUGGCUGGAAACUGAUCUGUUACUGGGACUAUGAAAAAAAACAUGAUCAUGCCUCAACAUGUAUUGAAUAA
rnacentral:lncRNA from 1 species